GACGAACGCUGGCGGCGUGCUUAACACAUGCAAGUCGAACGGAAAGGCCCUGCUUUUGUGGGGUGCUCGAGUGGCGAACGGGUGAGUAACACGUGAGUAACCUGCCCUUGACUUUGGGAUAACUUCAGGAAACUGGGGCUAAUACCGGAUAGGAGCUCCUGCUGCAUGGUGGGGGUCGGAAAGUUUCGGCGGUUGGGGAUGGACUCGCGGCUUAUCAGCUUGUUGGUGGGGUAGUGGCUUACCAAGGCUUUGACGGGUAGCCGGCCUGAGAGGGUGACCGGCCACAUUGGGACUGAGAUACGGCCCAGACUCCUACGGGAGGCAGCAGUGGGGAAUAUUGCACAAUGGGCGGAAGCCUGAUGCAGCAACGCCGCGUGCGGGAUGACGGACUUCGGGUUGUAAACCGCUUUCGCCUGUGACGAAGCGUGAGUGACGGUAAUGGGUAAAGAAGCACCGGCUAACUACGUG
rnacentral:rRNA from 1 species